ACCCGGAUAGUUUAAUUGGUUAAAACUUUAAUUUCAUGCAUUAAAAAUGGGAAUUCGAUUUUCCCUCCUGGUU
rfam:Colletotrichum orbiculare MAFF 240422 contig04360, whole genome shotgun sequence.